CAUGUCCAGGGAAAUGCAGAGGUUCUCCAGCUCAGAAAGCAUGUCCCUUUCUGUUCUUAAGUAACAUACAGUCUGCUUUUAAAGACCAUGUCUAAUAACUUCCUCUUGAUUCCUUUCUCCAGGGCAUUUUUCACUGAUUCAUCUCCAGCUUCACAGAAAACUUUGACAAAUAUCUUUCCGUACACUGCAGCUAUUGAAGGAGACUGUUCAACAGGCCUACUUCUGAUGGAGCUGGACAUGAUGGAGCUGGGGCAAUGCAGGGGAAGAUGGAGCUGCUGCUGUGAGUGCACAGUGACAUGGUUACAGCUGCAUCAGACACAUGUGCAGAUGGUACUGAUGGGGACACAUUCUCCCCCUACUUCUGUGAGAAAUUUCAGGGAUGAAAUAGGAAUGUAUUGGAGUGGCCUCAUGGUAUCUGCUGAAAAUCAUUCGGUUUCAGUGCCGCGUCAGAGCCCGCCGCCCUGGCUGCCCGCCGUGACGAACAACUCAUUGCUGUAAAUGGAUUCAGUAGUGCAAAGAUGGGAAGUGGUAUCUUUUGGUUUUAAUUUUCCCCCUAAGGACAAUUUGUUCCAAUUAGUGCCUUGGCUAGCAAUUACUGUUGCACAGUGCUCUGACUUUCUCCCCUCUGAACCAGCUGAAUCAAAAUCAGGGAGUCUCACAUGCAACAUAAUAUGGAUCCUGGCCUAGUGCACCUUCCCUAGAGAAGAUCUCUUGCUGGGGCUAGUUGCAGUGUUUUCUGGAAGAGGUCUUCUCUUGCUGUCAGGCUUGGUCUUCUCUUCCAUGGGUAUAUGGGAGUCAUAUUAUGAACCUUAAGGCAGCCUUUCUUAGCUGCAAGGGCACGUGUCGCUAAUGGGUAAGGACAAAACAACCCACCCACACCCGUGUGAGUGACCUUGUUGCUGACCUCCUCUCCUGGCCGGUGAGCGCCCUGCUGACUUGGGCCCCUCACUGGGCAGAGGGGCCGCGCUCCACAGGUCACGACCAAGGCUAUGUGGGGUGGAAAGACCCUUGCUCACACCACUUACCAGAUCUGUAUAUCAUGUCCUCUUUUCAUAAGGACAAACCCACAUCGGAUGGUUAUGUAAAGGCUGGUUUUGUCACAUAUCUAGAAAUCAAGAUCCAUCAGUAAAUGCAGCAGACUAUUUCAUUCAAAGGGCUUCCUCUGAAUAUAAAAUUUUAAUGGUGAGGGAAGAGUCUUGACAGAACUUUAGUUGUUGGGUUGCACUUUUAGGACAUUGAACAAUUUAUUUAAAGGAAGAGCUAAUGGAGAGCUAAUCAUGACUAGUAAUCUAUUUUCCAUACAAAUAAUUAUGAAAA
rnacentral:lncRNA from 1 species